UUCCAGUUGCAAAACUUUGUUCAGAAAUUUUACAUCUAAGUUACUUGGAGGGAGAAGUAAGGUUGUGCAGAGACCAGAUAAUGCCGCUCCAUUACAGGAUCCUCAUCCAGAGGAAUGGUCCUUUCGUAGACAAGAUGGGUCAUCUCACAACCAUUAAUGUAAUCAAGCUGAAGUUAAUGAGCUGUAUGAAUUUCAACAAAGGAGCAACUAACACAGAUCAUCACAAAUU